UACGAGCCCAUUUUGCCCGGGCCCAGUGCAAAACAAAAACAAAAUAAAAAUAAAACAUAAACCAAAUACAUUGCAGCCCAAAUUUCAUAUGGCCCAAACUACCCAAAAUUAACCCUAAACCCAAAACAAACAUAACCCUAGCCCAAGAUUAACCCCAUUUUCAGCAAACCCUAGUUUGCUUCCCCAAGCUAGCCGUCGCAAGCUUCCAUGCGUGGCCCCCUCGUCCACCACGCCCCACGCGUCUGACACUCUCACCUGCUCCACCGUGCCCACCACCUGCAACAAGAACAAACACAACAGCAAAGAAAACAUGCGAAUGAUGGGGGAAGUAAUAAACAAAAGGAACAAAACAAAUAUAUUGGCUUUAAAAGCCGAAAUCUAUCAUUGGAACCAGGACGAUUUUUGAUAUUUCAAAGGAGGGGAAAACAUAUUGUAUUUUGGAUGAGGGAUUUGAGGGGAAACGGAUUGUAUUUUGAAAUGGGGGGAUCGAUUGUAUUUUAGGGAAACCGGUUGUAAAUAGGGGGGAUUAGAGAGGAAAAACCGAUUGUAAAACGGGAGAGGUUACAUAGAGAGAAUACAAAAAAGGACUUGAAGGUGAUUUUCAGAUCAAUUUUUUUUCUUUUUUGAUUUUUUGGGUUCUCGUUUUCUUUCUUCUUGAUCUUUACUUGCUGCACAUUUAUAACAAAAAGGGAGAGCAUUACAAAGCAACAAAAAAUAGAAAAAGCAGUGAUUUCAAGGUUUUCGCACUCUUUUUUUUCUGUUCUUAUUCCUUUUUUACCGUAUUUUGAAUCUACUUGACAAAUCUAAAAGAGGAGUUUAUUUACCUUUUUUGUUGUCGAUUUAGUCGACGUUGGCUCCUCCGGCCUGAUGGUUGACAGAUCCUUGUGGUCUGGCUAAAACCGCGACGGUGGUGGAGGCGUAUUAUACGCUGGUGAAGCCUAAGAGUCGGCCAAGGUAAAGAAUAGGAGAAAAAUGGGGGCGGUUAGAUAUAAGUUUUAGUAAAAAUGACAGAGCUCAGUGGUUCUUUUUUGUGUUUUUUUUUUUAUAUUGAAACGGUGGUGUUUAAGGGUGGGGGCCGCGUGUUGAUCCAUGCCCAGACCCAAUUUGUGCAUUUAUAUGACGAAUGGGAAAUUUCCACAAUUAAUCCCUCAUUUUUGCAUCACAUUCCAACAGACCCCAUUAGCAUCCAUGUGUUUCAUUUUAAUUUUUCCCCAAAAAUUUGUACACCAUUCCAUUUUAGUCCACUCCAAGGUGCAGCGUUUUGGGACCUGGAUUAUUUCUAGUCCUAGUCCCUAUACAUUUAUAUACUUUGCAUUUUUUUAAAAAAACUAUCUUAUUUGUAAAUUAUUCCUUUUAUUUUAGGUUUAAUUUUAAUCUAGCCUUUUAUUUGUAUAAUCUGCUAUCUUAAAAUACUUUUAAUAUUUUUGUAUAUGUUAGUUUUCAUUUGUUCAAUUAUUUUGAGAUUUCUUUUAUCCUAUUAUUUUUUACAUUUUUCACAAUAUUUUUAUAUACAUAUUAUUAUACAUAUUAUUCUCAUUGAGUGUUCAAUUUAUAAUACAUAUUAUCGUGAAGACUCACAAUAUUUUUGUACAUGAGUGGAACCAUCUUAAUAACUUUAGCUUGUUUUAUAAAAUCAUCAUUUUAAAAUUCUUUUUGAGCUAUUUUAGUACUUUCAUAUAACAUCUUGUUUAAAUAUUUAUAUAUAUAUAUUACUUGUUUCAAAUUUAUUUUUCAUCUGUUAUUAUUUUAAACCUUUUACUAUUUAUUUUAAAUUGCUUUAUAAAUCAUUUACUUUACUUGGUUCUAUGUAUCAUUUUUGUUGUUUUGUACAUUGAUGAUUUUAAAUCGUUUCAUGCUAUUUAUUUUAAAUUGCUUCUUGUAAUAUUUAUCUCAAACGUGUUUUUACAUAUAUUACUUAUCUAAAAUUAGCUUGUUAUUCAUUUUUUAUCUAUUUUAAUUUGCUUUGUAUAUUAUUUGUUUUAAAUCGUUUUUUUACCUCAUUCAAUUUAAUUUGUUUCAUACUAGUUACUUCAAGUUGUUUCAUAUAUUAUUUUGUUUCAUUUCUUUAUCAUUAAUAUUGAUGCCAAUAUAAUAUGUGUUGUAUGGUUAUUAUCAUUAGGUACUUUGUAGUUCGUUUACUCAUAUUGUCAUGUUAUUGUGAUUUAUUGUGGUAGUAUUUUAUUUGCCAAUUAUUAUGCCACGUUUAUAUCAUCAUUUUUCCUCGUUUCAUUCAAAUCACAUCGUGCAUUAAAGCUCGAAUGCAUACAUUUAAUGUAGAUUGUUUUACCUUAUUCCGAACAAAUCAAAUACACAUCCUUUUGAAUUUCAUACUUGUUAUUCUUUCAUAAAAAGAAAAUUCUCUAAUAAAUGCAAUAUUCUGCGUUCGGAAAUUUGAGAGAUCGUGCCCUAACGUGCUGGGUUUCGAUUUCUCGUUCAACUAAAUAGCCAAAUAUCCUCUUAAAGCUUCAAAGUAUGGCUUCAAUAAGCUAUAAGGUGAUCUUGGUUUCGAUGGUAUAGAGUAUCGUGUCCUAACGUGCUGGAUGUGAUAUUCCUUCGGAACAAGAGAAUCUUAUAUUUCAAUUCACGUUAUCAGAGUUUCUUUUAAGGAUCGUAUUUUUUUUAAAACUCUUCAAAUUUUCAAUUUUCGACACUAAGACAAUGAUUAAUCAACUAGGUACCAAUUUUGGGCGUAUCGAGGGUGCUAAUCCUUCCUCGUGCGUAACCGACUCCCGAAUCUUUUUUUUUUUCUGAAUUUCGUAGACCAAAAUCGUUAUUUCAAUAAAAAUUAAAUCGUUUAUUAAAAAUAGCCACUCUUCGAGGUGACCCGAUCACACCUCAUCAAAAAAGAUUGGUGGCGACUCCCACUUUCGUUUUCAUUUUUCAAAAUCCAAGUUGACCCCGUUUUCCAUCAAAAAAAAAGGUGUCAACAGCUUGGCGACUCCACUGGGGAGAAUAAGAGAGUCAAGCCACGUGUUGAUUAUUUCUUGUCUUUUUGUUGAAAGUGGAAAAUUCGAUUUAAAUUUACGAUCCUCUCAUUGCAUCUCUUUUGUUUUGAGUUAUUUUUUUAUCGUGUUCUGUAUUUUAUUUUAUACCUCUGCACAUUGCAUUGCAUGACCGCUGGUCACACCUUUUAAGUGGGAGUGAGAAACUACGCCUUCGUGAGGUUUUCACCUCCGCAUGGGAUAGUGAAUCGCUUCCGGGAUACAUCCGUACCUAUGUCUUCGUGAGAUUUUCAUCUCCGCAUGGCCAUAGGGAAAUGUAUUCCCCUGAACUGAACUCGGUCCAUAUGAGCCUAUAAUGGGUGAGGAUCGAGGAAUCUGCUGGUUCAGGUACCCUUACUUUAGAACCAAACCUCAUGUAGUGAACCUUAGGAGCUCACCCUAGUUAGAGCCACUCCAAACCCCUAGUAUUCACCCAAAUAGGUGUCCUAUUUAUUCUUGCUUGCUUUUGCUUUGUACUAACAUAUUUUCUUUUUGUUAUGAUUGCAUUGCAUUUUCAUCAUAAAAAGAGGUGUUGAUUCAUGUUCGGUUGUUAAAUAGAGAGCUUGUCAUAAGGAAAUGGGUUUCUCGAUAAAGUGGAUAAUAAUACGGUUGUCCGAAUAUGGUCUAAGGAAACGUGAUAAGAGAGGGAUGUUAGUUUAAUGGAGGACUACACAACCAUUGCUCCGUUGCCCGAGAAUUCAAAGUGACAAGGAUUAUUCGAGAGCUGCUCAAUUUUUUUUAAAGAGAAGCCAACGAGCAUCACGAGGUUGAGUGAGCAACGAGUCACGGCCCGGAUCGAGUAAAAGGAGAUAGAAGAGACGUCCCUUUUGAAGAGUUUGUGAGACUUAUCUUAACACUCGAAUGAAGAAGAGGAUCGAAUGACUCCGCCUAUGAGGGUGAAACUGUAUAUAUAUAUCCGCUUUAUGUAAAGAGAUUUGUUUUCUAAUAAGGUUGUUCUAAUAGAAUUGAACCAAGAAUCAACGUCUCUUUUUGCAUUCAUUUCAUACAUUGCAUCAUAUGCAUUAGAUUUUCACGAAAUGGCCCUAAUUAAGUAAAAUUAUUUCAGUUACCCUGGAAACCAACAAGAAUCCACCAACCACAUAUCAUUACGGUACCCGUUGCCAAACAAAAGCAAUGGAUCAGAGGUUAGAAAGGCUGGAACAAAUGCAAAAAGAAAUGCAAGAUCAGAUGCACGAGCGACUGGAAAAAAUCCAGCAAGACAUGUUAGAAUCCCAGAACACUGUGAUGAACCAAUUAAAGCAGUUAUUGACUGGAAGGAAUGACAAAGGAAAAGGCCCUUUAGUUGAUGCUGGGGAUGAUCACGAUGACCCUGCCUAUCCUCCAAGUUUCACCCCAACUAACAUUCAAGCGCAACCAGAGGUGUACCCGCAGAGGGCACCUGUUACCAUUAGAUCCCAAUACCAGGUCGGUGCCCCGGCAUCGAUGAAUUUUCCAAUAGGCUCGGGUUCUAAUCCCGGUGAUAAUCCUACCAACCCCGUGUUUCCUGAUCUCGAUAACAUGGCAGAGAUGGAGAAAGUGAAAACGGACUUGUCAAAACAACUUGGGGACCGAUGUAGAUGGCUAGAGGAGAAAUUUAGAGCCAUGGAGAACACCGACUACCAUUGUGGAGUCGACGCCAAGGACUUGAGUUUGGUACCUGAUCUAGUACUCCCUCUCAAAUUCAAAAUGCCGGAGUUUGAAAAGUACAACGGGACUAGUUGUCCUGAAGCUCAUAUAACUAUGUUCUGUCGAAGAAUGACAGGAUACAUCAACAAUGAUCAACUGUUGAUCCACUGCUUCCAGGACAGUCUGAUCGGGUCUGCAGCUAAGUGGUACAACCAGUUAAGCCGCGUCAACAUCCAUUCAUGGAAGGACUUAGCACAGGCUUUCAUAAAGCAGUACAACCAUGUGACAGAUAUGACACCCGAUAGAAUCACAUUGCAGAACAUGGAAAAGAAGCAAAGUGAGAGCAUUAGGCAAUAUGCCCAAAGAUGGAGAGAGGUCGCGACACAGGUCCAGCCACCUCUUUUAGAGAAAGAAACCACGAUGCUUUUCAUCAACACUCUGAAAGCACCGUUCAUUAACCACAUGUUAGGAAGUGCUACCAUGAGCUUCUCAGAUGUAGUGAUGUCUGGUGAAAUGAUUGAAAAUGCAAUAAGAAGUGGGAAGAUAGAUGCGGAAGAAGGCAUCAAGAGAUCAACCCCAAAGCACAAAGACAAUGAGGUGAACAACACGAGUACAUAUAGCAAGGGUUAUUCAAAACCAAUUACGGUGAAUCAGCCAAGAAAAAUGGUCGCUAACCAACAAGGCUCAUUGAGACAAGAACCUGGAGUGAAACCAGGUACUGAGAACCUCCAGUUCACACCAAUUCCAAUGUCAUAUGAAGAGUUGUAUCAAAAUUUAUUCGAUGCACAUGUUGUUUCCCCUUCCUACUCAAAACCCCCACAACCUCCAUAUCCAAAGUGGUAUAAUGCGAACACACACUGUGACUACCACGCAGGAAUUACGGGGCACUCAAUAGAGAAUUGCAUCACCUUCAAGAAACUAGUUGAAAAACUCAUCAACAUGGGUAUUGUCAAGUUGGGUGACUCAUCUACUGCAGAGAAUCUGCUACCCGAUCAUGAUUGUCAAUAAGGUGAAUAUGAUGUAUGAAGAGAUGUUGGGAAGUGUUCACAUCAAUGACAUGCAUGAAGACACAACUGAAGAGGGGACUUUGUUAGAUGUCUGCCCUUAUAAACUUGGAAGUGUUCUAAAUAAAUCAGACUGUAAAAGAAGUCUCUGUAGUAUUUAGAGCCUACUUAGAGUAAUAUUCAGAACAAACUUGUUGCUUUUAGCCUGAAGCAAUAUGAAUUUUUUUUGUGAAAUAGGCUCAUGUCUGAACGUCAUUAUUUUAAUGAAAUGCAUCUUUGCGAUCAUUUUUGAGCUAAUAUUCUUUCAUUCUUUAUGAAUAAUUAUUCAUUCUUUCUCCAAAAUCAUUCAUUCAUUCAUAAUUAUACUGUCAAGAUAAUUAUUCUUAAAUUCAUACAUUCUUUGUAUAUUCUUUUGCACCAACAAUAGGUCCCUGAAUAAAACGACAUGAAUGACACUGCUACAGACUCAGAAUCUCCUUUUGAGCGAGACAUGUGUUUAGAGGAAUCUCAUGACUUCGAAGAUGACAUAGAUUGUGGCCUAUCUCCGUACUUAUUGAGGAGGGUAGAACAAGGUGAAAACAAAUUCCACCUUACGAAAAAUCAAUGGAGUCCAUGUGAGGCAUGAAGGUUAUUAGGUCGAUCUCGCCAAAAAAAGGUCUGGCGGUCAUCAGUUUAUCUUCACGGGAAGAAGCUGCUUCAUAUGCCAAUGUCACGAAGUCGACAGUGAAUUUUUUGAAAAAUCACGAAAAGUCGAAAAGAAUCAUAUUUGACAAUGCACUAAAUUUGAACAAGAGCAAAAUAUAAGAAGUUUGCAGUCUGUUCAAGAUUAACACCAUAUCGCCAAAAAAACUCUCUCAGGGCAACGCCCUCUUUUUGGGCUUAUCGCGGUUUCACCUAUUGAGGUCGAGAUUUCUUUCUCUUUGAGUUUUUUGGAUCCAAUCCUGGUUGGAGAGGAAUGUUCAAAAUAUCUAUCAUGGUCAAAUGUACCAAAAACAAAUGGUAUAAGUUCACCAAAACAAGGUUUGCUCUAGAGAAUUCCACAAGGGGGACCCGAUAUCAGAGAAGAUCCUUCCCAUACAAAAGGGACUUCAGAAGAAAGUGGAUGCCAAGCCAGAAGGACCUUAUGUGGAAGGCUUUAUCUGGGAGAGUGUCGGUAUGACCAAGAUAGAUGGCAAGAACUUGCCUAAUCUUAAUAAUUUUGAUUCAAGGAACAAAUACUUCACUUAAAAAAAAGGAAAAUUAAUGAAAAGAAGAAAAGAAAAUGAGUAAAAAAGGAGAGGCCAAGGUGAAAACCCACAAAGGGCGCCUUGAGACCAGAGGGGCUUGAGUUGAAAACCCAAAAAAAGGGCGACUCAAAUUUUGGAUCAAAUUGGGGCAUGAGGCGAUCAGAGCAGCUCAAAUUUUGAUCAAAUCCGAGCAUGUAAUGAUCUUACUAUACCUGAUUCAACAGGAAAGGGUAGGUAGCAUCUUGGGGCAUCGACAAAGUCUUGUAGAUCUCCUAAACACAUGUCAAACACAGAAUGGUCUUUCAAAGAGUUGGUACAGAGAAGUUCAAGCUACGAUAUCUGGGGCAUCUUGUUCUCAUACUUUUUUUUCUCUUGGAAUACUUCAUUCUUUUUCAAGAUACGUGUUCCCAAUUAAUUCCCCUUUUAUUCUUGCUAUCCUUGAUAGUUUAUCCAUUUUGAGCUAUGCUCUCAAAUCAAUUCUAUUUUAUCUAUCGUUAUGAUCUUUUGCAAGCAUGUUGCAUUGGAAUAAUGAUUAAUGGACUAAUAAAAUUUUCACGAAGGAAGUUUUGCAUAUUACUCUCAAAAGUUUCUAAAUAAUAUAGGAGCCUGAAGCAGGACAAUUGUUUAGAACACUCCAAAUUUAAAGGUUGGAAAUUUGGGAAGGAAUAGUCUAAAUUUAGACUUUCUCUUUGGAUUUUUGUUGUCAAAUGCGUUGAUUGACAAGAUGCCAUGUUGGUGACAAAGCUUGAAUAAACAAGAAAGUGAUGAUCUUCAGGCAAUAGGAAGAGGUUACCUCGGGAAGGAGAGCCCUUGUUUGCGCAUGAGUCUUUGGUACGACACCUUGGGAACGAUGUAAGGGACCAGAAGGAUUUAAAUCUUAUACCCUUGAAUUACGAUAGGAGAAGAUUGAAAAAAGCCAUAUCUUUCUACCCUUGGGUUACAGUAGGAGAUUGAUGGUAUAAAUUUUAUGUCACAAUGGAUUGAACUACGAUGUUCACAGUGGGGGCAAUCAGAUUACGUGUUUCUUUGGAAAUGCCGGCUGGUCAAGAAGGCAUUGCGACACGUUAGUGAUAAAGCCUCAAUAAGCUUUUGAGCGAUGAUAACCUAAGCAUUAAGGAAUUUUUUUCUUGACAUUCUGCAUUCAUUCAAAUACCAUUCACACAUGUCUAGUUAGGAGCAUUUGAUUCAUUUUGAUCAUGCCAUCCUAAUCAUUAGGCAUAAUUAGGUUCAUUAUACAUGUCAUGUUCCCUAGAGAACAGAUCAGUAAAAAUUGAAGAUAAACCUUGCCUCUCUCGGUCGUAGCAGAGCUGGUUGAAGUUAUCAGAUCUUGCCUUCCUGCAUUGACAGCGAAGCAGAUCGAAGACAAACCUUGCCACUCUCGUUUGUAGUAGAGCUGGUUGAAGAUAGCAGAUCUUGCCUUCCUGUAUUGACAGCGAAGCAGAUCGAAGACAAACCUUGCCACUCUCGUUUGUAGUAGAGCUGGUUGAAGAUAGCAGAUCUUGCCUUCCUGCACUGACAGCGAAGCAGAUCGAAGACAAACCUUGCCUCUCUCGUUUGUAGCAGAGCUGGUUGAAGAUAUCAGAUCUUGCUUUUCUGUAUUUGGCAGCGAAGCAGAUCGAAGAUGGCAGAUUUUACCUCCCUGACAACAGUGGAGUACAUUGAAGCCGAUAAUUCUAUCUCCCUGUAUUUGGCAGUAGAAUAGAUUGAAGAUUGCAGAUCUUGCCUUCCUGUAUUUGGCAGCGAAGCAGAUCAAAGAUGGCAGAUUUUACCUCCCUGACCACAGUGGAGUACAUUGAAGCCAAUAAUUCUAUCUCCCUGUAUUUGGCAGUGGAAUAGAUUGAAGAUUGCAGAUCUUGCUUUCCUGUAUUUGGCAGCGAAGCAGAUCAAAGAUGGCAGAUUUUACCUCCCUGACUACAGUGGAGUACAUUGAAGCCGAUAACUCUAUCUCCCUGUAUUUGGCAGUGGAAUAGAUUGAAGAUCAAGGAUGGCAGAUUUUACCUCCAUGUGACUACAGUGGAGUACAUUGAAGCCGAUAAUUCUAUCUCCCUGUAUUUGGCAGUGGAAUAGAUUGAAGAUUGCAGAUCUUGCCUUCCUGUAUUUGGCAGCGAAGCAGAUCAAAGAUGGCAGAUUUUACCUCCCUGACCACAGUGGAGUACAUUGAAGCCGAUAACUCUAUCUCCCUGUAUCUGGCAGUGGAAUAGAUUGAAGAUUGCAGAUCUUGCCUUCCUGUAUUAGGCAGCGAAGCAGAUCGAAGAUGGCAGAUUUUACCUCCCUGUGACUACAGUGGAGUACAUUGAAGCCGAUAACUCUAUCUCCCUGUAUCGGGCAGUGGAAUAGAUUGAAGAUUGCAGAUCUUGCCUUCUUGUAUUAGGUAGGAAGUAGACUGAAGAAAGCAGAUCUUGUCUUCAUGUAUUGGCGUGAAGUAGAUCAAAGAUAACAGGACCGGUCUUCCUAUAUUGGUAGGAAGUGGAUCGACGACGCAGAUCUUGUCUUCCCAUACUGGUGGCGAAUUAGAUCGAAGAAAGCAGAUCUUAUUUUCAUAUAUUGAUGUGAAAUAGAUUGAAGAUUGCAGAUCUUGCCUUCUUGUAUUAGGUAGGAAGUAGAUCGCAGAAAGCAGAUCUUGUCUUCAUGUAUUGGCGUGAAGUAGAUCGAAGGUAGCAGAUCCUAUCUUCUUAUAUUGGUAGGAAGUAGAUCGAAGAUGCAGAUCUUGUCUUCCCAUAUUGGUGGCGAAGUAGAUCGCAGAUGCAGAUCUUGUCUUCCCAUAUUGGUGGCGAAGUAGAUCGCAGAAAGCAGAUCUUGUCUUCAUGUAUUGGCGUGAAGUAGACCGAAGGUAGCAGAUCCUAUCCUCUUAUAUUGGUAGGAAGUGGAUCGAAGAUGCAGAUCUUGUCUUCCCAUAUUGGUGGCGAAGUAGAUCGCAGAAAGCAGAUCUUGUCUUCAUGUAUUGGCGUGAAGUAGAUCGAAGGUAGCAGAUCCUAUCCUCUUAUAUUGGUAGGAAGUGGAUCGAAGAUGCAGAUCUUGUCUUCCCAUAUUGGUGGCGAAGUAGAUCGCAGAAAGCAGAUAUUGUCUUCAUGUAUUGGCGUGAAGUAGAUCGAAGGUAGUAGAUCCUAUUUUCCUAUAUUGGUAGGAAGUGGAUCGAAGAUGCAGAUCUUGUCUCCCCAUAUUGGCAGCGAAGCAGAUCGAUGAUGGCAGAUUUUACCUCCCUGACUACAGUGGAGUACAUUGAAGCCUAUAACUCAUCUCCCUAAGCAGUAGUGGAGCAGACAAAACCACAGAUCUUAUCUCCCUAAGCAGUAGUGGAGCAGAUCGCAUCAAGUCUUAUCUCCUUAAGCAGUAGCGGAACAGAAGAAACCACAGAUCUUAUCUCCCUAAAUAGUAGUGGAGCAGACUAAAAACACAAAUCUCAUCCCCAUGGAGUCGUAGCAGAGUAGAUUGAAGCUACAAGGCGUAUCUGAAGUUGCAGUAGAGUGAAUCGAAGCAACAAGACGUGGCAGGUUGGAAUAAGGCUACUUGAAGAAGAUGAGCACCAAAAAGUCAAGACUCGGCAAGACCGGGCAAAAUUGGCCCUUUUGAUGUCUUUGCUCUAUUCUCGUUACACGAAAAUGAGCAAAGAGGGGCAGCUGUACGAGCCCAUUUUGCCCGGGCCCAGUGCAAAACAAAAACAAAAUAAAAAUAAAACAUAAACCAAAUACAUUGCAGCCCAAAUUUCAUAUGGCCCAAACUACCCAAAAUUAACCCUAAACCCAAAACAAACAUAACCCUAGCCCAAGAUUAACCCCAUUUUCAGCAAACCCUAGUUUGCUUCCCCAAGCUAGCCGUCGCAAGCUUCCAUGCGUGGCCCCCUCGUCCACCACGCCCCACGCGUCUGACACUCCCACCUGCUCCACCGUGCCCACCACCUGCAACAAGAACAAACACAACAGCAAAGAAAACAUGCGAAUGAUGGGGGAAGUAAUAAACAAAAGGAACAAAACAAAUAUAUUGGCUUUAAAAGCCGAAAUCUAUCAUUGGAACCAGGACGAUUUUUGAUAUUUCAAAGGAGGGGAAAACAGAUUGUAUUUUGGAUGAGGGAUUUGAGGGGAAACGGAUUGUAUUUUGAAAUGGGGGGAUCGAUUGUAUUUUAGGGAAACCGGUUGUAAAUAGGGGGGAUUAGAGAGGAAAAACCGAUUGUAAAACGGGAGAGGUUACAUAGAGAGAAUACAAAAAAGGACUUGAAGGUGAUUUUCAGAUCAAUUUUUUUUUCUUUUUUGAUUUUUUGGGUUCUCGUUUUCUUUCUUCUUGAUCUUUACUUGCUGCACAUUUAUAACAAAAAGGGAGAGCAUUACAAAGCAACAAAAAAUAGAAAAAGCAGUGAUUUCAAGGUUUUCGCACUCUUUUUUUUCUGUUCUUAUUCCUUUUUUACCGUAUUUUGAAUCUACUUGACAAAUCUAAAAGAGGAGUUUAUUUACCUUUUUUGUUGUCGAUUUAGUCGACGUUGGCUCCUCCGGCCUGAUGGUUGACAGAUCCUUGUGGUCUGGCUAAAACCGCGACGGUGGUGGAGGCGUAUUAUACGCUGGUGAAGCCUAAGAGUCGGCCAAGGUAAAGAAUAGAAGAAAAAUGGGGGCGGUUAGAUAUAAGUUUUAGUAAAAAUGACAGAGCUCAGUGGUUCUUUUUUGUGUUUUUUUUUUAUAUUGAAACGGUGGUGUUUAAGGGUGGGGGCCGCGUGUUGAUCCAUGCCCAGACCCAAUUUGUGCAUUUAUAUGACGAAUGGGAAAUUUCCACAAUUAAUCCCUCAUUUUUGCAUCACAUUCCAACAGACCCCAUUAGCAUCCAUGUGUUUCAUUUUAAUUUUUCCCCAAAAAUUUGUACACCAUUCCAUUUUAGUCCACUCCAAGGUGCAGCGUUUUGGGACCUGGAUUAUUUCUAGUCCUAGUCCCUAUACAUUUAUAUACUUUGCAUUUUUUUUAAAAAACUAUCUUAUUUGUAAAUUAUUCCUUUUAUUUUAGGUUUAAUUUUAAUCUAGCCUUUUAUUUGUAUAAUCUGCUAUCUUAAAAUACUUUUAAUAUUUUUGUAUAUGUUAGUUUUCAUUUGUUCAAUUAUUUUGAGAUUUCUUUUAUCCUAUUAUUUUUUACAUUUUUCACAAUAUUUUUAUAUACAUAUUAUUAUACAUAUUAUUCUCAUUGAGUGUUCAAUUUAUAAUACAUAUUAUCGUGAAGACUCACAAUAUUUUUGUACAUGAGUGGAACCAUCUUAAUAACUUUAGCUUGUUUUAUAAAAUCAUCAUUUUAAAAUUCUUUUUGAGCUAUUUUAGUACUUUCAUAUAACAUCUUGUUUAAAUAUUUAUAUAUAUAUUACUUGUUUCAAAUUUAUUUUUCAUCUGUUAUUAUUUUAAACCUUUUACUAUUUAUUUUAAAUUGCUUUAUAAAUCAUUUACUUUACUUGGUUCUAUGUAUCAUUUUUGUUGUUUUGUACAUUGAUGAUUUUAAAUCGUUUCAUGCUAUUUAUUUUAAAUUGCUUCUUGUAAUAUUUAUCUCAAACGUGUUUUUACAUAUAUUACUUAUCUAAAAUUAGCUUGUUAUUCAUUUUUUAUCUAUUUUAAUUUGCUUUGUAUAUUAUUUGUUUUAAAUCGUUUUUUUUACCUCAUUCAAUUUAAUUUGUUUCAUACUAGUUACUUCAAGUUGUUUCAUAUAUUAUUUUGUUUCAUUUCUUUAUCAUUAAUAUUGAUGCCAAUAUAAUAUGUGUUGUAUGGUUAUUAUCAUUAGGUACUUUGUAGUUCGUUUACUCAUAUUGUCAUGUUAUUGUGAUUUAUUGUGGUAGUAUUUUAUUUGCCAAUUAUUAUGCCACGUUUAUAUCAUCAUUUUUCCUCGUUUCAUUCAAAUCACAUCGUGCAUUAAAGCUCGAAUGCAUACAUUUAAUGUAGAUUGUUUUACCUUAUUCCGAACAAAUCAAAUACACAUCCUUUUGAAUUUCAUACUUGUUAUUCUUUCAUAAAAAGAAAAUUCUCUAAUAAAUACAAUAUUCUGCGUUCGGAAAUUUGAGAGAUCGUGCCCUAACGUGCUGGGUUUCGAUUUCUCGUUCAACUAAAUAGCCAAAUAUCCUCUUAAAGCUUCAAAGUAUGGCUUCAAUAAGCUAUAAGGUGAUCUUGGUUUCGAUGGUAUAGAGUAUCGUGUCCUAACGUGCUGGAUGUGAUAUUCCUUCGGAACAAGAGAAUCUUAUAUUUCAAUUCACGUUAUCAGAGUUUCUCUUAAGGAUCGUAUUUUUUUUAAAACUCUUCAAAUUUUCAAUUUUCGACACUAAGACAAUGAUUAAUCAACUAGGUACCAAUUUUGGGCGUAUCGAGGGUGCUAAUCCUUCCUCGUGCGUAACCGACUCCCGAAUCUUUUUUUUUUCUGAAUUUCGUAGACCAAAAUCGUUAUUUCAAUAAAAAUUAAAUCGUUUAUUAAAAAUAGCCACUCUUCGAGGUGACCCGAUCACACCUCAUCAAAAAAGAUUGGUGGCGACUCCCACUUUCGUUUUCAUUUUUCAAAAUCCAAGUUGACCCCGUUUUCCAUCAAAAAAAAAGGUGUCAACAGCUUGGCGACUCCACUGGGGAGAAUAAGAGAGUCAAGCCACGUGUUGAUUAUUUCUUGUCUUUUUGUUGAAAGUGGAAAAUUCGAUUUAAAUUUACGAUCCUCUCAUUGCAUCUCUUUUGUUUUGAGUUAUUUUUUUAUCGUGUUCUGUAUUUUAUUUUAUACCUCUGCACAUUGCAUUGCAUGACCGCUGGUCACACCUUUUAAGUGGGAGUGAGAAACUACGCCUUCGUGAGGUUUUCACCUCCGCAUGGGAUAGUGAAUCGCUUCCGGGAUACAUCCGUACCUAUGUCUUCGUGAGAUUUUCAUCUCCGCAUGGCCAUAGGGAAAUGUAUUCCCCUGAACUGAACUCGGUCCAUAUGAGCCUAUAAUGGGUGAGGAUCGAGGAAUCUGCUGGUUCAGGUACCCUUACUUUAGAACCAAACCUCAUGUAGUGAACCUUAGGAGCUCACCCUAGUUAGAGCCACUCCAAACCCCUAGUAUUCACCCAAAUAGGUGUCCUAUUUAUUCUUGCUUGCUUUUGCUUUGUACUAACAUAUUUUCUUUUUGUUAUGAUUGCAUUGCAUUUUCAUCAUAAAAAGAGGUGUUGAUUCAUGUUCGGUUGUUAAAUAGAGAGCUUGUCAUAAGGAAAUGGGUUUCUCGAUAAAGUGGAUAAUAAUACGGUUGUCCGAAUAUGGUCUAAGGAAACGUGAUAAGAGAGGGAUGUUAGUUUAAUGGAGGACUACACAACCAUUGCUCCGUUGCCCGAGAAUUCAAAGUGACAAGGAUUAUUCGAGAGCUGCUCAAUUUUUUUUAAAGAGAAGCCAACGAGCAUCACGAGGUUGAGUGAGCAACGAGUCACGGCCCGGAUCGAGUAAAAGGAGAUAGAAGAGACGUCCCUUUUGAAGAGUUUGUGAGACUUAUCUUAACACUCGAAUGAAGAAGAGGAUCGAAUGACUCCGCCUAUGAGGGUGAAACUGUAUAUAUAUAUCCGCUUUAUGUAAAGAGAUUUGUUUUCUAAUAAGGUUGUUCUAAUAGAAUUGAACCAAGAAUCAACGUCUCUUUUUGCAUUCAUUUCAUACAUUGCAUCAUAUGCAUUAGAUUUUCACGAAAUGGCCCUAAUUAAGUAAAAUUAUUUCAGUUACCCUGGAAACCAACAAGAAUCCACCAACCACAUAUCAUUACGGUACCCGUUGCCAAACAAAAGCAAUGGAUCAGAGGUUAGAAAGGCUGGAACAAAUGCAAAAAGAAAUGCAAGAUCAGAUGCACGAGCGACUGGAAAAAAUCCAGCAAGACAUGUUAGAAUCCCAGAACACUGUGAUGAACCAAUUAAAGCAGUUAUUGACUGGAAGGAAUGACAAAGGAAAAGGCCCUUUAGUUGAUGCUGGGGAUGAUCACGAUGACCCUGCCUAUCCUCCAAGUUUCACCCCAACUAACAUUCAAGCGCAACCAGAGGUGUACCCGCAGAGGGCACCUGUUACCAUUAGAUCCCAAUACCAGGUCGGUGCCCCGGCAUCGAUGAAUUUUCCAAUAGGCUCGGGUUCUAAUCCCGGUGAUAAUCCUACCAACCCCGUGUUUCCUGAUCUCGAUAACAUGGCAGAGAUGGAGAAAGUGAAAACGGACUUGUCAAAACAACUUGGGGACCGAUGUAGAUGGCUAGAGGAGAAAUUUAGAGCCAUGGAGAACACCGACUACCAUUGUGGAGUCGACGCCAAGGACUUGAGUUUGGUACCUGAUCUAGUACUCCCUCUCAAAUUCAAAAUGCCGGAGUUUGAAAAGUACAACGGGACUAGUUGUCCUGAAGCUCAUAUAACUAUGUUCUGUCGAAGAAUGACAGGAUACAUCAACAAUGAUCAACUGUUGAUCCACUGCUUCCAGGACAGUCUGAUCGGGUCUGCAGCUAAGUGGUACAACCAGUUAAGCCGCGUCAACAUCCAUUCAUGGAAGGACUUAGCACAGGCUUUCAUAAAGCAGUACAACCAUGUGACAGAUAUGACACCCGAUAGAAUCACAUUGCAGAACAUGGAAAAGAAGCAAAGUGAGAGCAUUAGGCAAUAUGCCCAAAGAUGGAGAGAGGUCGCGACACAGGUCCAGCCACCUCUUUUAGAGAAAGAAACCACGAUGCUUUUCAUCAACACUCUGAAAGCACCGUUCAUUAACCACAUGUUAGGAAGUGCUACCAUGAGCUUCUCAGAUGUAGUGAUGUCUGGUGAAAUGAUUGAAAAUGCAAUAAGAAGUGGGAAGAUAGAUGCGGAAGAAGGCAUCAAGAGAUCAACCCCAAAGCACAAAGACAAUGAGGUGAACAACACGAGUACAUAUAGCAAGGGUUAUUCAAAACCAAUUACGGUGAAUCAGCCAAGAAAAAUGGUCGCUAACCAACAAGGCUCAUUGAGACAAGAACCUGGAGUGAAACCAGGUACUGAGAACCUCCAGUUCACACCAAUUCCAAUGUCAUAUGAAGAGUUGUAUCAAAAUUUAUUCGAUGCACAUGUUGUUUCCCCUUCCUACUCAAAACCCCCACAACCUCCAUAUCCAAAGUGGUAUAAUGCGAACACACACUGUGACUACCACGCAGGAAUUACGGGGCACUCAAUAGAGAAUUGCAUCACCUUCAAGAAACUAGUUGAAAAACUCAUCAACAUGGGUAUUGUCAAGUUGGGUGACUCAUCUACUGCAGAGAAUCUGCUACCCGAUCAUGAUUGUCAAUAAGGUGAAUAUGAUGUAUGAAGAGAUGUUGGGAAGUGUUCACAUCAAUGACAUGCAUGAAGACACAACUGAAGAGGGGACUUUGUUAGAUGUCUGCCCUUAUAAACUUGGAAGUGUUCUAAAUAAAUCAGACUGUAAAAGAAGUCUCUGUAGUAUUUAGAGCCUACUUAGAGUAAUAUUCAGAACAAACUUGUUGCUUUUAGCCUGAAGCAAUAUGAAUUUUUUUUGUGAAAUAGGCUCAUGUCUGAACGUCAUUAUUUUAAUGAAAUGCAUCUUUGCGAUCAUUUUUGAGCUAAUAUUCUUUCAUUCUUUAUGAAUAAUUAUUCAUUCUUUCUCCAAAAUCAUUCAUUCAUUCAUAAUUAUACUGUCAAGAUAAUUAUUCUUAAAUUCAUACAUUCUUUGUAUAUUCUUUUGCACCAACAAUAGGUCCCUGAAUAAAACGACAUGAAUGACACUGCUACAGACUCAGAAUCUCCUUUUGAGCGAGACAUGUGUUUAGAGGAAUCUCAUGACUUCGAAGAUGACAUAGAUUGUGGCCUAUCUCCGUACUUAUUGAGGAGGGUAGAACAAGGUGAAAACAAAUUCCACCUUACGAAAAAUCAAUGGAGUCCAUGUGAGGCAUGAAGGUUAUUAGGUCGAUCUCGCCAAAAAAAGGUCUGGCGGUCAUCAGUUUAUCUUCACGGGAAGAAGCUGCUUCAUAUGCCAAUGUCACGAAGUCGACAGUGAAUUUUUUGAAAAAUCACGAAAAGUCGAAAAGAAUCAUAUUUGACAAUGCACUAAAUUUGAACAAGAGCAAAAUAUAAGAAGUUUGCAGUCUGUUCAAGAUUAACACCAUAUCGCCAAAAAAACUCUCUCAGGGCAACGCCCUCUUUUUGGGCUUAUCGCGGUUUCACCUAUUGAGGUCGAGAUUUCUUUCUCUUUGAGUUUUUUGGAUCCAAUCCUGGUUGGAGAGGAAUGUUCAAAAUAUCUAUCAUGGUCAAAUGUACCAAAAACAAAUGGUAUAAGUUCACCAAAACAAGGUUUGCUCUAGAGAAUUCCACAAGGGGGACCCGAUAUCAGAGAAGAUCCUUCCCAUACAAAAGGGACUUCAGAAGAAAGUGGAUGCCAAGCCAGAAGGACCUUAUGUGGAAGGCUUUAUCUGGGAGAGUGUCGGUAUGACCAAGAUAGAUGGCAAGAACUUGCCUAAUCUUAAUAAUUUUGAUUCAAGGAACAAAUACUUCACUUAAAAAAAAGGAAAAUUAAUGAAAAGAAGAAAAGAAAAUGAGUAAAAAAGGAGAGGCCAAGGUGAAAACCCACAAAGGGCGCCUUGAGACCAGAGGGGCUUGAGUUGAAAACCCAAAAAAAGGGCGACUCAAAUUUUGGAUCAAAUUGGGGCAUGAGGCGAUCAGAGCAGCUCAAAUUUUGAUCAAAUCCGAGCAUGUAAUGAUCUUACUAUACCUGAUUCAACAGGAAAGGGUAGGUAGCAUCUUGGGGCAUCGACAAAGUCUUGUAGAUCUCCUAAACACAUGUCAAACACAGAAUGGUCUUUCAAAGAGUUGGUACAGAGAAGUUCAAGCUACGAUAUCUGGGGCAUCUUGUUCUCAUACUUUUUUUUCUCUUGGAAUACUUCAUUCUUUUUCAAGAUACGUGUUCCCAAUUAAUUCCCCUUUUAUUCUUGCUAUCCUUGAUAGUUUAUCCAUUUUGAGCUAUGCUCUCAAAUCAAUUCUAUUUUAUCUAUCGUUAUGAUCUUUUGCAAGCAUGUUGCAUUGGAAUAAUGAUUAAUGGACUAAUAAAAUUUUCACGAAGGAAGUUUUGCAUAUUACUCUCAAAAGUUUCUAAAUAAUAUAGGAGCCUGAAGCAGGACAAUUGUUUAGAACACUCCAAAUUUAAAGGUUGGAAAUUUGGGAAGGAAUAGUCUAAAUUUAGACUUUCUCUUUGGAUUUUUGUUGUCAAAUGCGUUGAUUGACAAGAUGCCAUGUUGGUGACAAAGCUUGAAUAAACAAGAAAGUGAUGAUCUUCAGGCAAUAGGAAGAGGUUACCUCGGGAAGGAGAGCCCUUGUUUGCGCAUGAGUCUUUGGUACGACACCUUGGGAACGAUGUAAGGGACCAGAAGGAUUUAAAUCUUAUACCCUUGAAUUACGAUAGGAGAAGAUUGAAAAAAGCCAUAUCUUUCUACCCUUGGGUUACAGUAGGAGAUUGAUGGUAUAAAUUUUAUGUCACAAUGGAUUGAACUACGAUGUUCACAGUGGGGGCAAUCAGAUUACGUGUUUCUUUGGAAAUGCCGGCUGGUCAAGAAGGCAUUGCGACACGUUAGUGAUAAAGCCUCAAUAAGCUUUUGAGCGAUGAUAACCUAAGCAUUAAGGAAUUUUUUUCUUGACAUUCUGCAUUCAUUCAAAUACCAUUCACACAUGUCUAGUUAGGAGCAUUUGAUUCAUUUUGAUCAUGCCAUCCUAAUCAUUAGGCAUAAUUAGGUUCAUUAUACAUGUCAUGUUCCCUAGAGAACAGAUCAGUAAAAAUUGAAGAUAAACCUUGCCUCUCUCGGUCGUAGCAGAGCUGGUUGAAGUUAUCAGAUCUUGCCUUCCUGCAUUGACAGCGAAGCAGAUCGAAGACAAACCUUGCCACUCUCGUUUGUAGUAGAGCUGGUUGAAGAUAGCAGAUCUUGCCUUCCUGCAUUGACAGCGAAGCAGAUCGAAGACAAACCUUGCCACUCUCGUUUGUAGUAGAGCUGGUUGAAGAUAGCAGAUCUUGCCUUCCUGCACUGACAGCGAAGCAGAUCGAAGACAAACCUUGCCUCUCUCGUUUGUAGCAGAGCUGGUUGAAGAUAUCAGAUCUUGCUUUUCUGUAUUUGGCAGCGAAGCAGAUCGAAGAUGGCAGAUUUUACCUCCCUGACAACAGUGGAGUACAUUGAAGCCGAUAAUUCUAUCUCCCUGUAUUUGGCAGUAGAAUAGAUUGAAGAUUGCAGAUCUUGCCUUCCUGUAUUUGGCAGCGAAGCAGAUCAAAGAUAGCAGAUUUUACCUCCCUGACCACAGUGGAGUACAUUGAAGCCAAUAAUUCUAUCUCCCUGUAUUUGGCAGUGGAAUAGAUUGAAGAUUGCAGAUCUUGCUUUCCUGUAUUUGGCAGCGAAGCAGAUCAAAGAUGGUAGAUUUUACCUCCCUGACUACAGUGGAGUACAUUGAAGCCGAUAACUCUAUCUCCCUGUAUUUGGCAGUGGAAUAGAUUGAAGAUCAAGGAUGGCAGAUUUUACCUCCAUGUGACUACAGUGGAGUACAUUGAAGCCGAUAAUUCUAUCUCCCUGUAUUUGGCAGUGGAAUAGAUUGAAGAUUGCAGAUCUUGCCUUCCUGUAUUUGGCAGCGAAGCAGAUCAAAGAUGGCAGAUUUUACCUCCCUGACCACAGUGGAGUACAUUGAAGCCGAUAACUCUAUCUCCCUGUAUCUGGCAGUGGAAUAGAUUGAAGAUUGCAGAUCUUGCCUUCCUGUAUUAGGCAGCGAAGCAGAUCGAAGAUGGCAGAUUUUACCUCCCUGUGACUACAGUGGAGUACAUUGAAGCCGAUAACUCUAUCUCCCUGUAUCGGGCAGUGGAAUAGAUUGAAGAUUGCAGAUCUUGCCUUCUUGUAUUAGGUAGGAAGUAGACUGAAGAAAGCAGAUCUUGUCUUCAUGUAUUGGCGUGAAGUAGAUCAAAGAUAACAGGACCGGUCUUCCUAUAUUGGUAGGAAGUGGAUCGACGACGCAGAUCUUGUCUUCCCAUACUGGUGGCGAAUUAGAUCGAAGAAAGCAGAUCUUAUUUUCAUAUAUUGAUGUGAAAUAGAUUGAAGAUUGCAGAUCUUGCCUUCUUGUAUUAGGUAGGAAGUAGAUCGCAGAAAGCAGAUCUUGUCUUCAUGUAUUGGCGUGAAGUAGAUCGAAGGUAGCAGAUCCUAUCUUCUUAUAUUGGUAGGAAGUAGAUCGAAGAUGCAGAUCUUGUCUUCCCAUAUUGGUGGCGAAGUAGAUCGCAGAUGCAGAUCUUGUCUUCCCAUAUUGGUGGCGAAGUAGAUCGCAGAAAGCAGAUCUUGUCUUCAUGUAUUGGCGUGAAGUAGACCGAAGGUAGCAGAUCCUAUCCUCUUAUAUUGGUAGGAAGUGGAUCGAAGAUGCAGAUCUUGUCUUCCCAUAUUGGUGGCGAAGUAGAUCGCAGAAAGCAGAUCUUGUCUUCAUGUAUUGGCGUGAAGUAGAUCGAAGGUAGCAGAUCCUAUCCUCUUAUAUUGGUAGGAAGUGGAUCGAAGAUGCAGAUCUUGUCUUCCCAUAUUGGUGGCGAAGUAGAUCGCAGAAAGCAGAUAUUGUCUUCAUGUAUUGGCGUGAAGUAGAUCGAAGGUAGUAGAUCCUAUUUUCCUAUAUUGGUAGGAAGUGGAUCGAAGAUGCAGAUCUUGUCUCCCCAUAUUGGCAGCGAAGCAGAUCGAUGAUGGCAGAUUUUACCUCCCUGACUACAGUGGAGUACAUUGAAGCCUAUAACUCAUCUCCCUAAGCAGUAGUGGAGCAGACAAAACCACAGAUCUUAUCUCCCUAAGCAGUAGUGGAGCAGAUCGCAUCAAGUCUUAUCUCCUUAAGCAGUAGCGGAGCAGAAGAAACCACAGAUCUUAUCUCCCUAAAUAGUAGUGGAGCAGACUAAAAACACAAAUCUCAUCCCCAUGGAGUCGUAGCAGAGUAGAUUGAAGCUACAAGGCGUAUCUGAAGUUGCAGUAGAGUGAAUCGAAGCAACAAGACGUGGCAGGUUGGAAUAAGGCUACUUGAAGAAGAUGAGCACCAAAAAGUCAAGACUCGGCAAGACCGGGCAAAAUUGGCCCUUUUGAUGUCUUUGCUCUAUUCUCGUUACACGAAAAUGAGCAAAGAGGGGCAGCUGUACGAGCCCAUUUUGCCCGGGUCCAGUGCAAAACAAAAACAAAAUAAAAAUAAAACAUAAACCAAAUACAUUGCAGCCCAAAUUUCAUAUGGCCCAAACUACCCAAAAUUAACCCUAAACCCAAAACAAACAUAACCCUAGCCCAAGAUUAACCCCAUUUUCAGCAAACCCUAGUUUGCUUCCCCAAGCUAGCCGUCGCAAGCUUCCAUGCGUGGCCCCCUCGUCCACCACGCCCCACGCGUCUGACACUCCCACCUGCUCCACCGUGCCCACCACCUGCAACAAGAACAAACACAACAGCAAAGAAAACAUGCGAAUGAUGGGGGAAGUAAUAAACAAAAGGAACAAAACAAAUAUAUUGGCUUUAAAAGCCGAAAUCUAUCAUUGGAACCAGGACGAUUUUUGAUAUUUCAAAUGAGGGGAAAACAGAUUGUAUUUUGGAUGAGGGAUUUGAGGGGAAACGGAUUGUAUUUUGAAAUGGGGGGAUCGAUUGUAUUUUAGGGAAACCGGUUGUAAAUAGGGGGGAUUAGAGAGGAAAAACCGAUUGUAAAACGGGAGAGGUUACAUAGAGAGAAUACAAAAAAGGACUUGAAGGUGAUUUUCAGAUCAAUUUUUUUUUCUUUUUUGAUUUUUUGGGUUCUCGUUUUCUUUCUUCUUGAUCUUUACUUGCUGCACAUUUAUAACAAAAAGGGAGAGCAUUACAAAGCAACAAAAAAUAGAAAAAGCAGUGAUUUCAAGGUUUUCGCACUCUUUUUUUCUGUUCUUAUUCCUUUUUUACCGUAUUUUGAAUCUACUUGACAAAUCUAAAAGAGGAGUUUAUUUAC
rnacentral:lncRNA from 1 species